GGGUCAGUAGGUUGGUCGCGCCAUCGGUACGUACUGGUCUCACUGAUUCCUCCUUCCUGAAGAACCGUAAUGCCAUUAAUUUGGUGUUGCGGGGAAACAGGACUGUUACUUUGAAAAAAUUAGAGUGUUUAAAGCAAGCUAACGCUUGAAUACAUUAGCAUGGAAUAAUGAAAUAGGACGAUCGAUCCUAUUUUGUUGGUUUCUAGGAUUGACGUA
rnacentral:rRNA from 1 species